UCUAUAAAAUUAGCUGCUCGUUAUGCAUAGGUAAUCCUUGAUACUGCAGUUUUUCUAAAGAUGUAACGUUAGCCAUGGAGAACUGCAAAUAUGUUGCUACUGCUCUCAAUAACAUUGCUGCCCUGAACUUAUCAGGCACUAUCGACAAAGGUCAGUGGGAAAAAGUUGUGAUCGACUACUUUCUGGACACAGUCAGUGUGAACCAGUGUGACUUGACACGAUCGUGCCAUGCUGACUCUCUCUGACUCAGAGAAUAAAUCAGACGAUGAGGAAAUCCCUGAUUUAGGUAAAAAUAUUUUCAUUGAAGAAGACAUUGUAGAGUCUUGUUAUGGAGGUGGUGGGGGAUAAACGGCGAUCAACAAUGAUGUUGUCACGGAAGAAGUUGACCAAGUUUUGAAAUCAGUGGAACACAAUGGGCCUAACAAGCUGUGCAAACUAAACGGAAAUGACACAGGGCGCCUUAUUUCAUGAAAGGGGUUGCAGUCUGCUGUGAAGCUUUCAUCCAUGUAUACGGCGUCAGUAGAACAUGCCUGACUCUCCUCCACCAGUCAUACAAGGAGAAUGGUCUAUUGCCUCCCAUCAAAAAGAGAGCUGUCCCAAACAAGCAAAUGCAUCAGCUCAGUCAUCAAAUAUAUGCACCAUUUCAAGCAGAGCUUCAGAAAGACCAGAGUGAACAGACUGUCUGAGAUUGCUGGUGUUGUGAAGGACAGCACUGUGACAGGGGUCAACAUUCCACAGCUGGUUGGACUGAAAGAUGGCACGGUGCUGGUGGAAACUAUGGCUGGCAACAACACCUGACUCCGCACUUCAGCUUCGAUGCUCUGGAGCCUGGUGUUGUUGUCGCCAAGGAGCGUUCGGACUCAGUCAGGACCUGGUUUCAGCUGCUACGCAACGCUGACAUCCUUCCUCCCAUAGAUGGUCUGCCUGUACAAGCACCACCUGGACCGGACACAGCUAGACAAACAUAUAUUUUUAAGAAGAUCAAGGAGUUUUGUGACAAAGCGGCUAUGGACAUCACAUGCCCUGCACCAAAGUCAAGGGCAGGACAGAAACAGACUCUCCGAAUAUAGAUUCCCUUGUUCAUGCGUGGUUCGGACGGACCAGUCAUCAGCACUAUCUGCAGUGCCUCUAUUCAAAUGACUCUCUCUUAACACACACGCCAUACGUUGCUGAUACUAUAAAAAAAAUAUCCUGCUGAUCAGCCACUUUACCCUUAUUGUAUGCAUAUAACUACCUCGUCUAUCACCGAUAGCGUUAUUUAUAUUGUUCUUGUACAUACCGUGUAUUAUUUUAUUUUAACACUAUCUAUUUCUGAUAUUGCUAUUACGCAAGUAACCAUUUGGCUAUACCGUUUACACAUUCUGUAGAGACCCAUCCAUCUACCAAGACUUAGCAAAAUAUUGACAUAUAAAAUGAAUACUGAUAUGUGUGGUCGUAACAUGAAUUUCUGACAUACCACAACAAUAUCAUGUGACCAUAUCAAGUGUCCACCAUAUAAAUAUAUGGCAUAUGCAUCUGUUUAUGUACUGUACAUGUGCACCUCACUCGGGUUUCAACUCAGGUUGCAUGGCCUUGACUUAUGUAUGGAAUACUAUGUGAUAAGUGAGUGUCUAACAGUAUAUAAAGUAUGCUAAUGUACUGGUGUGAAGACAUUUGGGCAGUGGUCAAAAGUACUUAAAUAAAAAUACUUAAAAGUAAUACUUAAGUAUUUUUGGGGGUAUCUGUACAUUACUUUACUAUUUAUAUUUUUGGCAACUUUUACUUUUACUUCACUACAUUCUGAAAGAAAAUAAUGUACUUUUUACUCCAUACAUUUUCCCUAAAACCCAAAAGUACUCAUUACAUUUUGACAGGAAAAUUGUCCAAUUCACACACUUUUAAGAGAACAUCCCUACUGCUUUUGAUCUGGCAGACUCACUAAACACAAAUGCUUCGUUUGUAAAUCAGGGCUGAAUGUUUAGGUGUGCCCCUGGCUAUCCGUCAAUAAAAAUA